rnacentral:lncRNA from 1 species
UCAGGACAGCCAAACUGUGCGUUGCAUCUGGUUGGGUCUUUCGGAGCAAGUGCUAUGAGAGUUUUCUACUCUUCCUCCAGAGGCAGAUAGGUGUGCUUCUACCCCUCCCCAGCAAGUGGUGAAUCUCUGCCUGUUCUCCAGAAAUGGGAGGGUUUCCUCUUCUAGCAACUUAAGGCUUAUACCUCUUAUGAGACGAAGAUCUGGGAAAUGGACAGGGUUUUGUUUCUGCCCCCCAGUGGCAGCUGAUUACUUCUGGCAUGCCUGCACCACUAAAUGUGGCUGUCUCUAGUUUUCUGCCCUGCCCCCUAUAUUUCUUGUGUGUAUCCAGUGGAGACUCAUGGAUAAGAGCUUGAGUACAGACUUCCCAUUGAGUGUGGAACUCCAGAAUAUUCUGAACUGUCAUGAUAGUCUACACUUGGCCUUUAUGAAUUUGUUAAAAGUUUCUGCUUUCUUCUCAUCCACUUUUAUGAUGGCAGCUUUUGGAUUCUGCUGAAGGUGAAACCGUUUGUUCGAACUAUCUCUCCUUAAAGGGGCUCAUCACUCUUCGGAAUUCAUUCUACCUCUUUUCCUGGAAAACUCAGCUCUUUGAUGGGCUCAAAAAAGUUAUCAUUUUGCAGAUUUACCUGCCUUUUUCUCAUUGUUAUGGUAGGAGUGACAUUCUCUUGUGGCUUUCUACAAACUGAAUAGAAAUAGAUCUCCUAGGGAAGGUGGAAGGCUUUUCAUUCAAAAAAUCUAUUUCUUUAGUAGAUACAGGAACAUUAAAAUUGUCUUCUUCAUCUUUGGGGACUGUGGCUGUCAGUGGAGUAACGAGAAAGAGGAACAAAGAUGGGAAAAGACCAGCAGCUAUUUGUGAGGCUGUGGCCAUUCCUGCCUCCACCCCCAGACCACCUGCUGAAGGGAGAGAUGUUAAAAAGAACCACGUUUUCCAUUCCUCAAAGCCAAACAAACACAGAGAGUCGGCUGAGCCUCUCUAAAUCAGUGACUGCCAGGGGAGUAAAAUGCUGAACCCACCAAAAGGCCACAUCUGCGAAAUAAAUCCAUGUCCUGAGAGUCAAAUCAAAACAGAUGUGGUCCCACAGCAGGGACCCCUCCCAUGGAGAGACACAUCUACCUCGGUCCUACCCAGGGCCCUUUCUCGUUGAGAGAUCUGGCCAGGUUAUGAAAACCAUUUACUUCCAUGGUGACUCUUCUUCAGUGAUGCUGGCUGGAGCCCAGCCCUCCUCAGGUCACUUAACCACACCAUCUUAGGGAGCCCAGCCCACUCUCAGCCUAAAGCCAUCAGUGAAAGUGCAAACUCAGGGACUGCAGUCAGUUAGACUCAACAGCUCUCAUCCCCCAGGUCCUGUCCACAGGCUCAGCGCGCUAUGUCCUGCCCUGCCCACGCUGGGGUCAAGAAAGGAAGUUUUGCUCAUCUUCCAAGGCCCAGCUCAGCCGCCCCCUUCUCCAGAGGCUUCCUCCUUCUCCAAGGACAGAUCUGCUACUUAUUUGCCUCUUCCCACAAUACUUUUUUGAAAAUCUUUUCCACAGAGAGCCCCAGGGAUCCACUCGCUGGCCUCAAGGAUUUGUGAAUUCCUAAAAUGUUGUGUGGAUUUUCGUAUAUGAGCAUCUGUAUGUUUUUAUCUAAGGAGAAAACAACGGAUAGCUUUAUCAGGUUCUUAAAGAGGUCUAUGUCCUAAAAACAUUUAAUAUAAAUAUGAAUAUGACUCUACUACAGUAUAA